rnacentral:rRNA from 1 species
AUUGAACGCUGGCGGCAUGCUUUACACAUGCAAGUCGAACGGUAACAGGGAGCUUGCUCCGCUGACGAGUGGCGAACGGGUGAGUAAUGCGUCGGAACGUGCCGAGUAGUGGGGGAUAACGCAUCGAAAGGUGUGCUAAUACCGCAUACGUACUGAGGUAGAAAGUGGGGGACCUUCGGGCCUCACGCUAUUCGAGCGGCCGACGUCUGAUUAGCUAGUUGGUGAGGUAAAGGCUCACCAAGGCGACGAUCAGUAGCGGGUCUGAGAGGAUGAUCCGCCACACUGGGACGGAGACACGGCCCAGACUCCUACGGGAGGCAGCAGUGGGGAAUUUUGGACAAUGGGCGAAAGCCUGAUCCAGCCAUGCCGCGUGUGUGAAGAAGGUCUUCGGAUUGUAAAGCACUUUAAGUUGGGAGGAAGGGUUGUAGAUUAAUACUCUGCAAUUUUGACGUUACCGACAGAAUAAGCACCGGCUAACUCUGUGCCAGCCGCCGCCGUAAAAC